UAUUAGCUAGUUUAAAAUAGUGCGGGGUGAUUGGCUAACUCAGUGUUUAACACUGAAUUAUAGCAACCGAGCUCAUUUUUUAAUCCGUUGAAUAUUUUUUACGAAAAAUAUUUUAAUAUCACCCAAUGAAGCAGCAAUGUA